ACUUUAGGAGUUUGGAGGAAAGGUGUGGGAUGAAGUUGUAAUGGGCGCAAGUGAUACUUGGUUUCAUUUUUAAUGAAAUCGGGAGCGGGAAAGCCAAGCUUUUACUGGGAAAGUUCUCGAUCCAAUUCCAAUAAAGCCGAAAGGUGCUCCAUCUAAGAAGAGGCCUAAGGCGUUCCAUGAGAGAUUCAGACCCGCGGACUAAGGUGGUAUGUGAUUUGAAGCAAAAGGUGCUGUUGUGUCGUCUUCCGAAGGUGGUUGUCUUCCCAACGUGUGAUGAUUCUGGUACAUGGAUGUGGCGAUGUUCUGAUAAGGUUUUAAGCUUAGCUCUGAAACACGAAACACAUUUGCUUAUUUGCUUAUUUGGAAUGUCAGUUACAUAUGUGUUCAGUGUCAACUCUUCUCUGUAAUAUGAUACCUAGAAACAAAAAAAGGUUUUUAUCUGA